AGCGGCGGACGGGUGAGUAACGCGUGGGUAACCUGCCCUGUACACACGGAUAACAUACCGAAAGGUAUGCUAAUACGAGAUAAUAUGCUUUUAUCGCAUGGUAGAAGUAUCAAAGCUUUUGCGGUACAGGAUGGACCCGCGUCUGAUUAGCUAGUUGGUAAGGUAACGGCUUACCAAGGCGACGAUCUGUAGCCGACCUGAGAGGGUGAUCGGCCACAUUGGAACUGAGACACGGUCCAAACUCCUACGGGAGGCAGCAGUGGGGAAUAUUGCACAAUGGGCGAAAGCCUGAUGCAGCAACGCCGCGUGAGCGAUGAAGGCCUUCGGGUCGUAAAGCUCUGUCCUCAAGGAAGAUAAUGACGGUACUUGAGGAGGAAGCCCCGGCUAACUACGUGCCAGCAGCCGCGGUAAUACGUAGGGGGUUAGCGUUAUCCGGAAUUACUGGGCGUAAAGGGUGCGUAGGUGGUUUCUUAAGUCAGAGGUGAAAGGCUACGGCUCAACCGUAGUAAGCCUUUGAAACUGGGAAACUUGAGUGCAGGAGAGGAGAGUGGAAUUCCUAGUGUAGCGGUGAAAUGCGUAGAUAUUAGGAGGAACACCA
rnacentral:rRNA from 1 species